UUCAUUAAAAUCAACAAAAUAAUAAUAUGCAAAAUUUGGGCUUUCUCGGUUGAAUUUCACCCAUCAGCAUUUAUUUAUCAACUCGAAUCCCUGAGCGUUCCAAGAAAAGUUACCAGAAAUGUCCCCACAUAAACCAGCCCAGGCAACUAAGCUCGAGAAGAUUAAUAACUCGCCAGCGCACGUUCAAUUAAUCUUUCGCUGCGCCUGCUCCGAAAGUGCAACUGGAUCCGGCAGACAUGGAAAUCGAAGUCCCACCCACUGACAACUUAACGGCACGUCUCCGGAACGGAUUCCCGGGAUCCGAUGGGACAGUAGCCGACGAAAUGGGAUGGUGGCACUGGGAUGGAAUGAGGUGUACCUGCCGUAUUGUCAGUGUCAAUUGUGACAGUGCCUGCGACAGAGGCUCACUCCCCGAAAACAAACAAACGGACACGUUCUCCUGGGGGGAGAAGAUGGCCCCAUGAUGAUGCCAAGCAUUUGCCCAUGAACGUGACAAAACUGAAGAACACGCUGCCGGGAAUCCGGCUAAAUUAGUUGUUUUAGCUGCGUCUAAAUUUAGGAGCUACUGCGACCCCUCGGCCUAUUCGGGGAUUUUGGGCGUGCGGCAAUCCAUUGGCCAUAAAUCAAUUAUACGGCCCCAACCGUAUUUAUAGACCGGCUUCUGUUCAGGUGCAUGGCUCAAAUUUAUGUAAAUACAAUGCUGACAGCUCGAGCCUGGUUGUGCCUUCUAAAUUAGCAUAAAAUAUAAAUCGGAAAUCAUUUGUAAUAAUUAGGGCGACAUUUGCUGCCGUUUUCGACACAGAUUUUUUGGCAGAAAAAAUGGGACUCUUCCCAAGAGUUUUCGCUUGCACUUAAUUCGUUUAAUUAGGAAUCCCGCGGGCAAACAAAUGCUUUUGACUUCAUUAUGGCCAGGGAAUAUAAAAAAAAAAACAUGCGAAAGCUGUCAGCUAAAUUGAUGCACCCUCAAGCAUUGGAUUACAAAAGCAGUGAGCCCACAAAAACACGAAAACAAAAGCAAAUGAGGCUGAAGUUGCAGCAGCAGCACCACCAGCUGAACCAGCUCAUCCACCAUCCUCCAUCUGAACCACCAGCACGCAACUUGACUCCUUCCUGCUCACCACAAAAAAUAUCGAGGAGUUUCUGCAGGAGCAGUCGAACAGUUGAAUUUUAUUUGAAUUAGCAACGCGCAAUCAAAAACAUUCAAACACGCAUAAAUUGAAUCCCGUGGGAUGAUUUCUGUUUCGGGUUCCCAGUGGCGUGGUGGCGUGGUGGCAACCCCCUCGACGUCCAGCCAGCAACUUGUCACGUGAUUCCAAUAACAAAUAACUCCUGCAACGGAUCAUCCCUUAGUCCUGCAGCGGAGCCGCGACGAAAUCCAGCCGGAACCCGUAUUUCGCAGAGCGUGGAGAUCACAACACAUCUCGGCCAGCUGAGCACACCGGUUCGUUACAGGAUUUUGGCGCCAAAUACCCGGGGCAUGGAAUAAUCAGUUCAAAGACGAAAUCAGUUCCUUGUGGUACGUGUCACAGGCGGCAGAUGUGGGAAUGGAUGGCGGUCGGGGGGUGCGACUCCUUGCAAGACGCUCGACGAGGGGUUGGUCGGAAAGUAACGUCCAAAACUGCAGUUCCACCACCAUCAAUAUUCCGAAGAAGGUUGUCUGGUGAUGCUGCGGAUUUUGGGGUGGGCCAACUGCGCCAGGUAGAUUUGCACGAACCUCUCUCUUUUGGCGCAUUCCAAGGCACUCGGCUCCGAUCGGAAAAAUAAAGCCAGGUAACUGUGCGGGCACAUGCCCAUUUUGGGGUGGAUUGAUUGGAGGUCUCUGGCAGAUGGUGAGAUUCUUUAAUAUCGGGAAUUGAAAUUUCAUGGCCUUUAGGGGGUUAUUUCUGCCGAGUGCACCGAUAAACGAGGAGGAGGAGGACCGGAACAAUACUCUGGGAAAGGUUGAUUUACCUUAGAUCUGCGCGCUGUUUGUCCUGGUGAUUAAUAUUUCUGUGGACGUCCAAGUGGGUACAUUGCAUUGUUGGUGGGCUCGAUUUAAUGGCGGAGCCAAUGUCACGUGCUGAUCCUACUCAGCUGCCAGCUGGAGAGGAUCGCUCCGAAAAGAUCAUCUAGAAACCUAAGUGCUUAUUUUCUUCUGUAACUGCGAGAUCUCUAACAUAAA